GCUGUUGAGACAACUCCAGGCCUCAAUUCAAUCAUGUCUUUCAUUUUUCUUUGUGAAUGGUAGAAUGGCAUCCACAGUAUGGUAUGAAAUGUAGAGAAUGAAUGAUUUUAUGAAUCCUUGCUUAAGUCACGUACAUGCCUAAAGCCUCUGAAAACGUAUCCUGGACAAGUGUGGGCACAACAUUUCAAACAGCCCCCUGAUGCUCUGGAAGUGAGCUGUUGAUCAUGAGCUCUGUCUUAUGAAGCGAAUGUCUGCCAUUAAAGCUUCUUAGCUCUUUGGGUGGUGUUCUCCGAAAUUGCUCUCAGCUGGCUGGUGAGCAUAUUAAACUGUGCUUUUCACCACAUACUGUAGCCUUUGCUCCCAGACUUCCUCCAUUAUUCUUGACCAUGUUUUUAUGCUCAUUCUUGCCCUUUUAAAUAAUUGUGUGCUCAUCAUUCCUCCAAGUCUUACUCUAACUCUGCAAUAUCCAAAGGGAUCAAUUCAGUUCCCAAACAGUCAACAGUGUGUUUAUACCACGAAUGCAAACAACGGAGAGACUAGAUGAAUCUUCCAUUUUCUCAACCAAUUUUGACAUUGUGGAGGCACAUGUUGAUCUUUCCUUGUUCUCACCAAUCUUGAGCAACUACCUGGAUGGAAAAAAGGCAUUGUUCUCAGCACUGGGGAUAUGGCAAUUACCAAAACCUCAGAAGGGCCUGUCCUCUGCGCCUGCAUUCCAGUGCGGUUCCUAACAGCCAACACUGAGGAAAGACUCACCCUGCACCAGGCACUGCUCUCAGCUUGGAACACAUAGCCAUUCAUUUACCCCCGCACCAAGCCUCUGGUGUACAGACUAUUAAUAUCCUCCUGAUGCCGAUGAGGAAAUGGUGGCAUAAGAAGUUUAGGACACUUGCCCAGGGUCACAUGUCUCCAGGAAGCUGGGCCGAGUUCCUGAAAUGAAAACCACCUCCCCUCAGCUUGGCUCUGGGCUGCAUGACUCAGGGGCUGGCUCUGACACCCUGGCAUACGAACUCAAAAGCCAGAAGUUUGGAAGAGACUUUAUUUUGGUAUCUAAGUAAGAAGGAAAUACCUGGUGCAACUUGUCAGCCUUGACAAGGAAAAAAGAGGGUAAUAAUCAUAAUAAAAGAUGGUAUCCUGGGUGAAGGUGAGGCUGUUUAUAAGCAUAGGUCCUGUGUACACUUGGCGUUGCAAAUGUCGGGCAGGACGAGCACUAGAGCUCCAUGGAAGCAGCUCUCUCUUGUUUGUGAGCUCUUGUACCUUGGAGCUGCUUUGGAAUGAUGGAUAAUUAUUAGAAUUUUAAAUUAGUGGAUUAAUGGAAUCCAGACAUGAUUGAACAGAAUCAGGAAGAGGCUAAAAAGAUUGAGAAUAAAACCGAUUGAACAAGAAGGAAAAGGAAAAGGAAAAGGCUCAGUAACCGAUACACUUAUUGAAAUGUUUCUUAGCAAGUCCACAGAGGAGGAUGAUAAUAAUAAAAAUAGUAGGAGGGCCACUAUUGUUGUCCGACACUGG